GCCAGUGUGGUGUAGUGUUUUGAGUGUUAGACUAUGACUCAAGAGACCAGGGUUCAAAUCCUUUGCUUGGCC